rnacentral:rRNA from 1 species
AGUAAUGCUUGGGAAUCUAGCUUAUGGAGGGGGAUAACUACGGGAAACUGUAGCUAACACCGCGUAGUAUCGAGAGAUGAAAGUGUGGGACCUUCGGGCCACAUGCCAUAGGAUGAGCCCAAGUGGGAUUAGGUAGUUGGUGAGGUAAAGGCUCACCAAGCCGACGAUCUCUAGCUGGUCUGAGAGGAUGACCAGCCACACUGGGACUGAGACACGGCCCAG